rnacentral:rRNA from 1 species
ACAGAGGUGGCAAGCGUUGUUCGGAUUUACUGGGCGUAAAGGGUGCGUAGGUGGCUUUGUGUGUCGGGCGUGAAAUCCCACUGCUCAACGGUGGAACGCCGCCCGAAACUGCAGGGCUGGAGUGCAGGAGAGGAGAGCGGAAUUCUUGGUGUGGCGCUCUAUGGAGUGGAUCUCACGAUGAGCCCCAGUGGCGUGGGCGGCAAACUGGAAUACAACCCAGAGUGAGGCGCGUGACCGUUGGGUCAAGUGUG